rnacentral:rRNA from 1 species
AUUGAACGCUGGCGGCAUGCUUUACACAUGCAAGUCGAACGGUAACAGGCCGCAAGGUGCUGACGAGUGGCGAACGGGUGAGUAAUGCAUCGGAACGUGCCCAGUCGUGGGGGAUAACUACUCGAAAGAGUAGCUAAUACCGCAUACGAUCUAUGGAUGAAAGCGGGGGACCGUAAGGCCUCGCGCGAUUGGAGCGGCCGAUGUCAGAUUAGGUAGUUGGUGGGGUAAAGGCUCAACAAGCCAACGAUCUGUAGCUGGUCUGAGAGGACGACCAGCCACACUGGGACUGAGACACGGCCCAGACUCCUACGGGAGGCAGCAGUGGGGAAUUUUGGACAAUGGGCGCAAGCCUGAUCCAGCAAUGCCGCGUGCAGGAAGAAGGCCUUCGGGUUGUAAACUGCUUUUGUACGGAACGAAACGGCUCUGGUUAAUACCCGGGGCUAAUGACGGUACCGUAAGAAUAAGCACCGGCUAACUACGUG